GAAGAUCCACCCAAAAUAACAUGAAGUAAAUCAGGAGUGUCUGUUUCUGAAAAUGAUCAAUAGAAAUUUAUUAGCAAAGAUACUAAAUGACAAAACAGUGUUUCUGCUGUCUUCAGGUAAAUGAUCUGGAGUGUGUUUGCAUAUUGAUCAGAUGCUUCAGUGCUCUGAGAGUGUUUAUAGUGCUGUGAGUUUAACACUUCAUCACUGACACACACAACAAUCUUCAUCAACAUGACCUUCAUCAUCAUCUGGACGCUCUUAUACUGCUUUAUACUACAAGGCUGUAGAGCUCAGAUCACAGUGACUCAGACUGCGGUGAAAACUGCAACACCAGGAGAAACUGUUGAGAUGAGCUGUAAACUCAGUAGAGCUGCUACAGACUGCAGCCCAGCCUGUGUGUCCUGGUACUUACAGAAACCUGGAGAAGCUCCUAAACUCCUGAUUUAUGAAGCAAGCACCCUCCAGUCAGGAACUCCAUCUAGAUUCAGUGGCAGUGGAUCUAACAGUGAUUUCACUCUGACCAUCAGUGGAGUCCAGACUGAAGAUGCUGGACAUUAUUACUGUCAGAGUUUCCAUUGCAUAACAGAUUCUUAUGGUCUUUGUGAGGGUGACUAUGUGUUCACACAGUGA